rnacentral:rRNA from 1 species
GAUCCUGGCUCAGGACGAACGCUGGCGGCGUGCCUAACACAUGCAAGUCGAACGGAGUAAAGCCCUUCGGGACUUUACUUAGUGGCGAACGGGUGAGUAACGCGUGAGGAACCUGCCUUUCAGUGGGGGACGAACAGUUGGAAACGACUGCUAAUACCGCAUGACGCUUCUUGGGGGCGAUCCCUGGGAAGUCAAAGAUUUAUUGCUGAAAGAUGGCCUCGCGUCUGAUUAGCUAGUUGGCGGGGUAACGGCCCACCAAGG